AGGGAAAGUUGAAAAGCACUCUGAAGAGAGAGUUAAAAGAACGUGAAAACGAUUAAGUGGAAGCAAACAGGUCUAUUGAAAGAUGUAUAGUUUUCUAUGCAUCUGCUAAUACAUAUGUGGAGUUUCUAUUAUUCUAUUUUAAGAGGACUCUAUAUGAGAACCCUUAUGAUGGUUGAACGUUAUCUCCCUAUAUGAAUAUUAGCAUUUAUGAUAGUUACCUGUUUGACCCGUCUUGAAACACGGACCAAGAAGUUUAUUGUAUACGCGAGUCAUUAAGUGUUAAAACUUAUUGGCAUAAUGAAAGUAAAGGUUCAUUCGUUGAGCUGAUGUAUGAUAAAGUGUUUACGGACAUUUUAGCAGUACAGUCCUAUUCUUAUGGCUUGCCAUGGAGUGGAGAUAGAGCGUAUGCAAUGAGACCCGAAAGAUGGUGAUCUAUGCUUGAGCAGGAUGAAGCCGGAGGAAACUCUGGUGAAAGUCCGUAACGGUUCUGACGUGCAAAUCGAUCGUCUGACUUGAGUAUAGGGGCGAAAGACUAAUCGAACCAUCUAGUAGCUG
rnacentral:rRNA from 1 species